UCCGCCUGGUGAUUGGGGUGACCGCGAACCUGGCCUGAGACCCCGGAUACUUGAGUUUUCGGGGGUCUAACACUACAUCAGAAGAAAAAUUUAGUAUUUUACAGCUUAAUAAAAUGCCUUAAAUCGCCAGUUUACACAAAACAAUGAUUUCUAAAACGGUGGACAUAAAGCCAAUGGAGAGAGAAAAACUACAAUCACAAGGCAAGGGUGAGAUAGGUCACCUGGCACUGAAAAGGAAAGAAGGAAAACUCCGCAAAGGGAGGGAGCAUCGCAAGGCUCCAACCACAUGACUCAAGUAGAGGGAGCAAAAACAGAAACCCCAUCCAUAGGGCAAGCCAGAGGCAUGGCUAAAAAGGAAUGAGAAAACUGUGUACAAGCAGCUGCAGCUUAAACAAACAAUAACAUUUUGGCUCCCGGACAUGGAAAGGCUCUGCCCUUGUACCUUCUCCUGCGGCCUGCUGGUGGGCUCGUGUUAGGUCAAGGGUACCCUUAACACACAGAUUGACAACCCACACUCCAUCUCACCGGUUUGCUGGGACUCU